CCCUUAGAUGUUCUGGGCUGCACGCGUGCUACACUGAUAUUGCCAAUAUGUCAUUCUUAUCCGAAAUGGAUUGGGUAAUCAAGUAAUGAAAUUUCAUGCUUGGAAUCGGUAAUUGCAAUUUUAUCGUGAACGAGGAAUUCCUAGUAAGCACUAGUCAUCAGCUAAUGUUGAUUAUGUCCCUGCCCUUUGUACACACCGCCCGUCGCUACUACUGAUUGGGUGUUCAAGUGAGAUGCUUAGACCCUUGUCGCAUGGUUCAUUAUUGUGCUCCGAAAGGAAAAAGUUUCAAGCUUGAGUGUCUAGAGGAAGUAAAAGUCGUAACA
rnacentral:rRNA from 1 species